rnacentral:lncRNA from 1 species
UUCAAUUAUUUUACAUUUAGGGUUUUCAUUUUUAUUUUAUGAUUUUCAUUCAACUCGACGCUAGCUACUACAUAUAGCAAUGAAAGAACCAUUAAUUACACAAUAUCGUCAUGGACAUGUAUAGAAAGAAGUGACCUCUCUUUCUUCGUGCUUGUUCGAACAACAAGUUUUCGUAUAUCUAUUUGAGUUACUACGUAUAGUACACAAUCAUGCAUAUAUACAAUAUAACAUCUCCUACAAUCCCUAACAUCAUCUACCAAAAUCGCAUUGCAACUCCCCAUGGUAUUCUCCGUCUUCAGGUAUGGCAUCUCUUACAAUCCCUAACAUCAUCAAUGCUCCCAAGCGCAAUAUAUAGCUUGGAAUUCAGCAUGUACAUCAGGACCACACAAGUUUGAGAGGCAUCCAUGUUGACCUAUAAAACCCAAGAAAGUUAUCGUAGCACAUACAUCCAGUACCACACAAUCCGACAACUUAUAUCACUGCAUACAGCCCUAACACCUAGGUUUGGAAAUGCAUGCAUUGCCUUGGAAGAUCACGCGUGGGUUUAUAAUUGUAAAGACCCUCACUACUAGCCUCGUUUAUCGUGGUGGCCAAUGCCCUGGCUCAGCUAUAGAGAUAGGUACGGAACCAUGUGUGUCAUGACUCAUGAUAAUGUACCUAUAUUGUCGUGGAAACAUCACGACAGAUGUCCUAGUGUGAGAACUUAGUCGUGAGGCCAACGCAUCUAUGUAGUAGCUUGAAGGGGUUGGUCGGAAUCGAGAGACACAAGUUUUUACCCUGGUUCGGCCCCUCACGGUGGAGGUAAAAGCCUACAUCCUGCUUCAUUGAUAUUAAUGAUGAUGAUCAUGAUUACAAGGGUGCUCAUCUCGAGAGCUAUUGACUUCUCUAUCUAAACCUAACUUGUUUAACUUAUGGAACCUGUCCCUCUUGGGGAGCCCUGCCCCUCCUUAUAUAUGUUGAAGGGGCGGCUUACAUGACUAGUCCUAUUAGGAUUAGGAUUACUCUAUUACAAGUGGAGUCCUAGUCUUGCUUCCUUUGUAGGAGAAUAUUCCUUACGCCUUUUCUCUUAAGCCGACCCUCAAUAAAAUGAACCGGCCUACCAUAAACCACCUUCUGGGCCACCAGGUCUUACCGUUCCUCUGACCCGCUUGCCGGGUCACCCAUGAGUCGCCAGGCUCGGGCAGGUCACUUAGUGAGUCGCCAAGUCCGGUCGGGUUAUACUUCUGGCCGGGUUACACCGCGGUGUAUAUCCCCGACAUUAGCCCCCCCAGUUUAAUUUGGAUUCAUCCAUGUUAAACUGACCUACAACAUAAACACAAGAACAAAUUUGUCGGUUGUGCUCCGGUUUAAAUAUUCUUAUAAACCGACACUUGAUCAUCCUUAAGUCCUUGUCAUUUCUUCCUUCUGAAAAUUUCGAGUCAAUAGACCAGCUUCAUAAACCGAAAGCCCCCAAGGGUCGGCUCAUUACACUGUGAUGAGUCGGGUCUUCAAUAAGGUGAGCAAAAAAUGACUUUACAUUAGCCCCCAAGUGUCAUGGUGCAUGCUUGCAGCUACAUGAGACUUUCAUAUUUGAUGUAACCUCAACUUGAAUAAUGUAGCCCCCAAGUGCCAGGUCGUAAGCCUGCAGCGACUCGGGACUAUUCCUUCAAUUGUAGAAUAAAUCAUAUCCAUUGAUAAUAUAAUAGCCAUUACGCUAAAGCGACUUUGAAAGCCUUAAUCAUAAUACUGGUUAUUGAUAACCAUAAUAAAAUCCAGCCAUGUUGGCUAUUUGAAGAUUUGAAUAAUACAAUCCAGUGAUUUAUGAGCGCAUGAUUCCAAUGGCGCAAUCCAAAUAUAUACUGGUGACUUAUAAUCCCAAGCUAGUCCGGCUUAAUAAACACAAGAACAAAUUUGUCGGGUAUGUCCAACCCGUUGGAGUUAUGUAGAACUGAGAGGAGAGCGAAACCAUCGGUUAGUGUGAUUACCGAUGGUGCAUACACCCCUUCGGGGAUUUCUUUAGAUGAGAAGUUAGCAUGCACCUUCAAUUUAGACAAUCACCGACAAUCUAAAGCGCCUGUAUGCAUAUUUUGUACCCAUGAUGUUUGUUGCGCCAUAGGCCAUACACCCCUUCACGGAUUAAUUUCUCUUAGAGGUGUUGCAUGACAGGGAAAUGCAAUAUAUAACACAAUAAUUCAUAAUAUUGGCAUUUCAAAUACGUCUCAUAAUUACACAACUGCACAUGACCAAAAGAACAUAUGUUAUAUUUAGCAUAAUCUAAGUUUUACAAACCUAAUGAGUUGCAUGUGAAUUACAUUUACCAUAGCAAUCUAUAUGGAAGUGUCUAAUGCAAAAAGAUGAAACAAAGAAGUAUAGACAAUUUGCAUAAGCUAAAUUCUUCACAAACUUCAGAUCACUACUAGGGAAAACCUUAUACACAGAAUCUUAGCAGCAGCGCGGCAUAAAAACAGGCACUGCUGCUAAGUAGUAGCAGCGCGGCUACGGAAAGCUCGCUACUGGUGCAAACUUAGCAGUAGCGCGUGACGCUUAAACCGCGCUGCUACAAAAAUCCACCGACAGUACAGAACGACAUAAAUUUACCAGUAGCGCGGUGCCAGGGAGCGCGUUGCUGCUAAUGCCAUAGUAGCAGCGCGCUUUUUUGUCACCUCACUGCUACUAAUUUUGAAAGUGUGCACAGGGUUGGCCUGUUUAGCAGUAGCGCGUGACAGGAAAGCGCGUUGUUGCUACGCUCUUAGCAGCAGCGCGCUUUCUCUCCCGCGCUACUGCUAACAUGCAGGACCCACCACCUUUUCCACCUCCCCCUCCCCAUCUCCUCUCCUCCCUUUCCCCUACCUCCCACAUCCUCCCUCUCUCACUCUUCUUCUUCCUCAAUACUUCUCCCCCCAUUACUCUCCCUCUUCUACCUACCUUUCUCUCUCUUCAUUACUCCUAGCUAUAACUACACCACCUCCAUUAAUUCAUCUCCUUUCUCUUUUUCCUCCCACCUCCACUAGUUGAAGUUGUCUCCUCCCAAAUUAGCUAGCUAGGUAGAUGUAGCAUUUAGUUAAGUGACCUAUUUGCCCCCUAAAUAGAUCUUUCUUUGUCAAGAAGAGCUUUGUGCACUUUUGACCUCCCUACAUCAUCAUCUCCACCGUGUGCUCGAUCUCGAGAUAGAGGUGUCAUUAAUAUUUCAUGCUUUUGCAAAAUGGAAAUAUGUUUAUGCAUGUGUGUGUGAUAUUUUUAUGGAAAUUGUGUGUGUGGCAUGAGUUGACGCCAAAUUGUGCAUUUGAGUUGCCUAUGUUUUGCCGAAAUGUCGAUUUAUUUCCGUUUCGGUGAAUUCCGGGCAAACUCUAGAUCUAUAUAUGUCCUACUUUUAUGGAAGGUCAUGCCGAAUUUUUGUAUGACUUUGAUGAAUGCACGCAUUUUUAUAAUCAAUUUUUUUAUUAUUACCGUGCAGAGUUCACGAUGGUCAGUGGAACGAUGGUGGACAGGUGGUUGCGGUCGGCGGUGCAGGACAUGAAGGAAAAUAACCUGACAGAGGUUUUAUGUCCGUGUCGAAAAUGCAAAGGAAUAGUUUGGCUUGACCCCCAUGUCGAUGGUCGUGUCAAAGCGCACCUGCUCAUGACUGGUUUCAUGGAUGGCUAUACUCGAUGGAUAACUGAAGAUGAGGAUGACGAUGUUGAGGAUGCCGACGGGGCAGGCAAUGAUGACACGGGGCAAGACGAAGAGAUGAUCAAUAAUGGCGGCGGGGAAGAGGCUGGACAUGGCGGCGGAGAAGGGGCCGGACAUGGCGGCGGAGAGAACGACAUGGACUCCACGCAGCAGAGUUCGUCCGUACUAAGUUCAAUCGUGCGGGACCCUCAUGUUCAAACAUUGCUUCGCAAGGAGACGAGUACUGAGAGAGCUGCUUCUAGAGAGGAGGCUAAGCUGGAGCAACUGGUGGUAGACUCGAACACUCCAUUGUAUGAUGGUUGCAAUCCUGAGGUGACCCGCUUGAGUUUCACGCCCCAAGUGCUGAAGACGAAGGCUAAAAACAAAUGGACCGACACUAGCCUCGAUGAGCAUCUCAAGUACCUAAAGGAUGUUCUUCCCGAGGGUAAUCUAUGUCCUAGUAGUGUUGAUGAGGCCAAGAAGAUCGUGUGCCCUCUUGAUCUGCCACACGUUAGAUACCAUGCAUGCAUCAACGAUUGCAUAAUUUAUCGGAAGGAGCACGUGGAAAAAACAAGUUGUUCGGUGUGCAAUGCUUCUCGAUACAAGAAGGCCGGGAAGAAAUGUCCCCAGAAAGUGGUAUGGUACUUACCGAUCACUCCCCAUCUCCAGAGGUAUUUUGUAGAUCCCAAGGAAGCAAAGCUAAUGCGGUGGCACGCGAAGAGGAAGAAGCCCGACGAUGGAGAUGAUCCGAAGCUGAGACACGUCAAGGAUGGAAGCCAGUGGAGAGCGUUGAAUAGCUUCUAUCGGUAUUUUGAAUGUGAUGCAAGGAACAUCGUGCUCGGCGCGUGUACCGAUGGCAUGAAUCCGUUUGGCAACCAGAGCACCAACCAUAGCACAUGGCCCGUGUUUGUAUGGAUGUACAACCUCCCCCCUAGUUGUGCAUGAAAUCAAAGUACAUUCACAUGAGCAUGCUUAUUUAAGGGCCGAAACAACCAGGAAAUAAUAUUAAUUUGUAUCUGGGGCUACUUCAGGAGGAGUUAGACACGUUAUGGAAAACACCGGCCAAGACAUGGGACGCCAGCAAAGGCGAGUAUUUCAACAUGAGAGCCGCGCUGAUCACGACAGUGCACGACUAUCUUGGUUACAGAUAUGUGGUAGGCCAGGUGUGCCAUGGAUAUUGCGGAUGCACGCGGUGCAUGGAUGAUACGACGUCUCAGCAGCUAACGUCAAGGAAAGAUGGCGGGUCUGGGAAAAUCGUGUACAUGGGGCAUCGAAGAUGGCUCGAACAGGACGACCCGUGGAGAAACCGUGGAGAUCUAUUCAAUGGUCAUGCUGAGCAUCGAGGACCUCCACGUAAGCGGAGCGGUGCCGAAAUCGAUGAGCUGUUGAAAAACUAGAAGGAGUGCCCCGCGCUGGGAAAGACGAUGAGAAAGGCGCCAGAGCCGCUGCUGAAGGUAUGGAAGACGAGGUCUGUGUUCUGGGACUUGGAGUACUGGCACAAACUCGAUACACCUCAUUGCCCUCAUCAAAUGCAUAUCUGUAAGAAUGUCCUUGAGAGCUUGCUCGCAACACUGAUGAACAUGCCGGAUAAGACCAAGGAUGGGCCGAAGGCAAGAAAAGACUUGUAAGAUUUGGAAAUCAGGGAAGAUCUGCACAUGCCACCACGUCAAAUGUCAGACGAGACAGAGACGGAGACAGAUGCACGGGAGAAGAAGGGCAAGAAAAUAAAGAAUGAGGAUUAUUGCCCCCCUUCUUGCUUCACCUUAAGUCAGGCUGAGAUCAAUCAAUUCUUUAAGUGCCUUACCGGAGUCAAAGUUAGUUCCGGUUACUGUGGCAAGAUAAGUAGAUAUCUAGACACGGACAAGAAAAGGUUCAGCGGGAUGAAGUCUCAUGACUGUCAUGUGAUGAUGACGCAGAUAUUACCUGUUGCCCUUAGAGGGAUAAUGGACAAGCACGUCCGUGACACGCUUAUUGGUCUCUGCAACUUUUCGACGUCAUCUCUCGAAAGUCGAUCAGUGUGAAGCAGCUCCGAAGGCUACAGGAAGAGAUCAUUGUGAUACUGAAUGAGCUUGAGAUGUACUUCCUGCCCGCGUUCUUUGAUGUGAUGGUGCAUCUGUGUGUCCAUAUUGUGGAUGACAUAAUAGACCUGGGGCCGUCAUUCCUGCACAACAUGAUGCCGUUUGAGAGGAUGAAUGGGAUCAUCAAAGGAUUCGUUCGUAACAUGUCCCGUCCGGAUGGAAGCAUCGUCCAGGGCUAUUUGACACAAGGGUGCAUCUCUUUCUGUGAGAAUUUUCUAUAUGGCGCAGACCAACCGCCUGGUGUUAGUGUUGGUUUGCCCGUUAACAAGCACGAUGGGAGGCUCGAAGGAGAAGGUCACUGCAACGGUCGCAGGGAACUGCACGUGGCAUACUCAGAUCGACGCAGCGACUUUGACAGAACAAACUUGGUAGUGCUACAACACCUAGACGAGGUAGAUCCUUUCGUGGCACUGCACAAAGAAAUUAUCGCAAAGAAGUAUCGUGACCGGGGGGUAUGCAGGACGGACGCCAAAGUUACUAGAGAGCACAACUCCACUUUCCUGCAUUGGUUCAAAGAGCAUAUUAUUGCUAAUCCCCCGGAGGAGGGCUCUAAGGACGGAUUGCUCUUAUACGCCUUAGCACAUGGCCCCUCGCCCAACCUCGUAACCUAUCAGGCAUAUGAUAUCAACGGAUACACGUUCUACACGGAGGCCAAAGAUAUGGACAGUGAUGAAUAUCAGAACUCAGGGGUGACGAUGGAAUGCAUGACCGGCAGCGACAACGGCGCAACUGAACAAUUUUAUGGAAGGGUCGAGGAGGUCUGGGAGCUUGACUACUCUGGACUGCACAACAUCACGAUGUUCCGUGUCAGAUGGGCUAAGAAUGUCGAAAGACAAAGCCGGAUUUUUACUACCAUGACUAUACCCGACGCCAAGAGCGCUACCGUGAACGCUAUCGCAAAAAACGAGCCAUGGGUACACGCUAAGCACGUGACACAAUGCUUCUUCAUAACCGACCCAUGCAAUCCCAGUCGUGUUGUUGUGAGGAAAGGCAAAAGAAACAUCAUUGGAAUGGAUGGAGUCGCCAACGAGGAAGACUAUGAUCAGUAUGGCAACCCAAUGAGCGAAGAUGACGAUGAUGAUAAAGUAUACGUCAAAAGAAGAAUCAAUACUACAUUACCAAAGAAAAAUCGUACUCCAUGGAAAAGGCAAAGUCACAAUGAGGGGCUCAAUUAUUCUUCGACGAACAAGAAGGGAAAGAAGCUGACUCAAAAACGAAAACGUCAGCGUUGAGGAAUCGGUCAAAUGAUGUAAUAUAUAUAUAUAUAUAUAUAUGUUCCUAUUUUGUAUACACACUUAAUUAGCCAUUAUUAUGCAUGGGUCCAAUGAUGUAAUAUAUAUAUGUUCCUAUUUUGUAUACACACUUAGCCAUUAUUAUGCAAGGGUCCAAUGAUGUAAUAUAUAUGUUCCUAUUAUGCUGAGGAAAAGAAAAAAAGGGAAAUUGGUUAUAGCAGUAGCGCUUUAGUGAAAAAGAGCUACAACUAGUCAAGGUAGCAGUAGCGGUUUCCGUAGAAAAUCGCUACAGCUAGUCAAGGUAGCAGUAGCGGUUUCUGCAGAAAACCGCUACAGCUAGUCAAGGUAGUAGUAGCGCGUUUCGUGUAAACGCGCUACUGCUACGUCCACUUAACCCAAAAUUCUCCCUCUCCCUGCUUCAUCCCGCCUCUUUUCCCCCAAAUCCCCACUCUCUCUUCCCUGGCCCCGUCGCACCGCCGCGCCCGCCCCCGACCUCGGCGUGCUCGCCCCCGACCCCGGCGCGCUCGCCCCCGACCCUGCCGCCCCCGAUCCCGCCACGCUCGACCCCGAUGCACUCGCCCCCGACCCCGCCGCCCCCGACCCAGGCGCGCUCGCCCCCGGCGCCGGCGCUCGCCCCCGACCUGUCGGCCCUCGCCUCCCACCUCUGCUUCCUCCCCUCCCAACCUCGGCCGUCAUCGGGCAUGCCUCCUCGCCCUGCACCCUCUCUAAACCACCCCCUCUCUCUCUCUCUGCUAGCUAGGGUUAAUUUACUUAGGUUUUAGUUAUGUUAAUUAGGUUAUCUAUUUAGUUAUGAAUUUAGAUAGGUUUCAAAAUUUGCUGAAUUUAUAUGCAAAUUUGAACUAGACAUGUGAUAUGUGGAUAUGUCAUGUUUUGGUAAAUGAUCCGAGUUGCCUAUGUUACGCCGGAAUGUUGAUUCAUUUCCGUUCCGGUGAAUUUCCGGCGCUUGAUAUGUCCGUUUUUUAGCAAAGGUCAUGCCGAAAUUUCCCGUGAAUAAAGGCAUGAUUUGUGCUACAUAGUUGGCAUAUCGAGUGCUGGCACAUAGAUUUCUUUUUUAUCUCAUUUCUCAUUUAUUCAUACUUUUAGAAAUAAAUGAGGACACUUAAUCAUAGGAAACAUGUCGAAUAAUGAAGAAACUGGGCCUUCUGACCAAGAUGCAGACGAGAUGGAUUAUGAGGGUGAACAAGACUACCUCAACUUUUUGACUGCUAAGCAAGGUUUGCAGGUCCGCCUCGAUGAUGGUACUGACGCCGACACCGAGCCGGCACCGAUGGCGGCGCCAAGACCGGUGGGGAAGGUACCGCCGGGGAAGAUACCGGCGCCGAUGCCGGUACCGAAAAGAGGCAUAAGAAGCAGAGGAUACGAAAACCUAACAAACUAGGGAUUGGACGACUUGUGAUCACAAAGAUGGCACCUGGCAAGUUUGAGCCGUUAGAGCCGGAAGAACCUCACAAGUGCUAUGGGAACCAAGUAGGAUGCAUCCUACGGGAAUGAGCGAUCAUCAAUGACGAUGACUUAAGGAGUAAAGAACAUUUGACGCAGUUGCUCCUAAUGAAGUUGCAUAAGAGAUUCAAGUUCCCCGAUCGGGAUAAUAACAUAGAACAACCGUGGGAUGAUCCGAAGAUGAAAAAGAUUAACAAUCAUGCCAUGGGCAUGUUCAGCAAUGAUUUGGCCUCCUGGAAAUCGAGGGUGAAACGAGCUAUUGAGGCUGAUGAACCCCUGUCCAAGAUUCUGGAGGAAAAUCCGACACUUACGGAAGAGGAGUUCAAAAAGUUCAAGGACACUUGCGCUACCGAGGACGCCAAGGCUAAGGAUGCGAAAUUCAAGAGCCUUCAGCAAAGGAACACGGGGAAGCAUCGCCUCGAAAGCCAUGGCUACCUCGGUAAAAGGUCCAUAUGGGAUAAGGAGGAUGCGGAACGUGAAGCCGCAGGUCUCCUAGACCCCUUCGCAAAGUUCACCAACCCCUUGGAGCAUGACUUCAUCAGGGCCCGCUACAAGUGGGACAAGGAGAAAAAGGUUUUUUACACGGACAAGAUCACGAGGAAAUUGAUUAGACUACUGGAGAAGCAACACCAGCUUGCAGCCGAAAACCCUACUUCUCCGAUGAGGCCCAAGUGGGACACCCCUCUCAACCGGGCCUUGAACGAACUUAAGGGACUCCCUUUGGGCCAGCGGCCGCAAUAUGGUCGUGUGCACGGCGCUGGAGAUGGCGCCACGUGGAAGGUGUUUUACAACGAGGGCCCGGAGGCCAAGAAGCAGAAAAAGAAGUUUAGUCAGGCGGACAUCGACGCGAAGGUGAAUCUUGCGGUCGAGAAAAAAGCAGUUGAGGACGCGAAAAAAGCAGCCGAGGACAAAUAUGAGUUGCUAUAGCAGGCAGUCAAUGCAGCUGUAACUGCCUGCAGAAAUGAUUUUGCUACUAACUUGGUUCCAGUUAUCAUCAACUGGACGAAGGAAAAUCCAGACAAGACGGUACAUGAUUUCCCGUUGCCCAGUUUCGUCGGGAGCAACUCCAUGAACAACAACACCAUCACACCAUCACUUGCUCACGCAACUGGGCCUCCUCUCGCAGUCGCUCCCGCUCAUAGCAGCCCGUCCUCAGUCUCUGGCGCGCUUGGUGGGCCUUCGUCUUUGGUUGAGCUCGACGCCGUCACGGUAAUUACAUGUCACACCAACAUAUAUAUAUAUAUAUAUAUAAUAUUCCAUUUUUGUUGCCUUUCGGAUGUUUUACGCCACAGACAUAUGUGUUUGCAGGCGAAAGAAACCCCGUGCACCAUACUCUACUUGAUCAAAGGCCAGAAGGUGGACGUGGGAAAGGGGAUGAUAAUGGACCCCUUGCAACCCACGUUCCACAACCAGUCAAUCCCUGCUGGGCACUUCAGGGUUAGCUUGUCCAGUGUGAAAUCAGGGCACGAGGAUUUGCCUCCUCUAGUACAGCAUGUGGGAGUGGACGAUGAGACCUCGCCGCGGAUUGGAAGCUGCAAGGGUUGGGUGCUGCUAUGGCCGAAGAAUCUUAUUCGUCUGGAGCCGGCCGAGAGCACACCAAUAACCACACAUCAACAAGCAUGUGCGGAGACCACCACCCCACCUACGCAAUUACCAGCUCCUGUAGUGCCGGGUGGGAGCGGCGAACGACAUGAUGAAGGGGGUGCAAUAGUGCUGGCUGAUGUAAUUUGUCCUGUAGAAUAGAGAAUGGAUGAUGAGACGGAGGUCGACCCUAUGGAUUUCCUCAAUACAAACGCGUAUGAAUGUGACAUAGAAUUGAUGAGUCAACCAUAUGACGAAUCGGGCUAUCAGCUUGCUAAUGAGGAUAUGGAUGACAUGCCCGGGCAGGAAGGUCGUAGCAGGGAUUGCAAAAAGUCUCUCUUCAUGAAAUCCUCACAGGACACGCCUGAAGUUGUUGCCUCAACACAGGCUCAACUAUCCCAGUGCGAGGGUCGUACAGUACUUAGCCCGGGAACACUGGGGCAGGGGUUAAGGAAGGGUCUAGAAGGUGUGCCCAAGAAAAAGGAGAGAAAGAGAUCAGGGAAGAUAGCUGCCUCCAAACAAGCCAGAGCACAUAGCAGCAAAACGAUGCAUUCUAAAGAGCGUGUACCCGUGAAAGGUGCGGCCAUGUUCCAUCUCACGGGCGAGCCGAUGCUACCGCCGAAACCACUGGAGGCACUAUCAGGGGAUCUUAGGAGACUGCACGACCAUGUGCUGUCGACUGAGAAAAUCCUACUAGCCUCAAAGGAUCCAGGAUAUCCGACAUACGCGGCUCGUGUGCCUGAGGGGAAGUGCUACGUCGAGACACGGCCCGCGGAGGUGUUCUUCCUGUGGUUUGACCAUAUCUUUGAGAUGUUUCUGACAAGGCGGCUCGAUUUUACAAUCGUCCGCAUUUUUGCGCUACAUAUGAGCUCUGUCAUGAACAGUGAAGAAGUCACGCAAAUCUAUGUGGCGGAUCCGUACUACAUGCACGAGUCUUUCUUGAGUCUCGGCGACUUUGAGCGUGAAACUGCUAGGGACUACCUCCAAAACUUCAUGGUACAGAAUAAGGACUGGGAAAUUGUCCUCGUGCCUUAUCAUCCAAAGUAAGUCAGUUUCGAACAACCCUUUCAUACAUUUCAAUCAUUCCUUCUCUCUCUAUGGGGAAUAAUUUGAGGUGUCUUUUCUCCGCAGCAACGGGCGCGCCGUCCUUAUCGUUCUUUAUCCUCAAGUCUCCCACGCCAUGUAUUUUGACCCUUCCAGAGACUACGAGAAAAAAGACUACACCCACAUAAUGAAUAUUCUAGAUGAUGCUCUCCUAGGCUUCAGCUUUAGAGGUGGCCACAUGCAGAUCAGGAAACAAAGGAACAAGAAGAUGAGUUUCGCGCAUAAAACUAACUUCUCCUACAUCCAAGUCCCAAAACCAAGCAAGAAGGAUGGAUUGUACAUCCUCCAUCUCAUGAAUGAGUUCAACACGGAUCACCAAAAGCUUUGCAUGAGAAGCAGAAAUGAUGAUCAUAUCCACAAGUGGCUAGAAUCUCAUGGAGAAGCAGAUUAUAAACUUGGAGAUGAGUUCUUUCACAUCCAAAGCGACAUUGCGACGAUCAUCAUGAAAGAAGUCGUCGAUGAGAAGGGGAUGUUCCACCACGGCCCUAUAUCGCGAGCUGACGUUCGAACUCGCAUAGGCAUGCAACGUCUAGACCUCACGCCGUUCAAGAAGCUAGGGUCCAUCCUCGAUGAUAUGGAAGGAUGGAACUUCUAGUGAUUUAUGAUGCCGAUGAUGAUGAUAUGUGUCGGUUGAACUUGUAUACUAUUUGUAGUGAUGCAACUUUGUGAUGUCCAUGAUCCCUGCCGAACUUGUGUAAUGCUACUUUGUUAGUUUGCGUGCGAUGACCUGCGUACCUCUAGUUAAUUAAUUUGCGUACUGUAUGUUGCAUCUGGUUGCUAACCCUUUCUUUUUCGGUGUUCUCUAGUAUAUUUUGUUGCAUAUAUAUGAUUGUACAUCCUCUUCAUGAACAUGCAUCUCUAACAGGUACCUAGUUUCUUGAUGGCGAGAUGGAACUGCUAUGUCGUGUACAAAGGGAAGGUUCCAGGGGUGUACAACGAGUGGCAUGAGUGUCAGGCGCAAGUGAAUGGGUUCUCGGACGCCAGCCAUAAAGGCUUCAAAAGCAGACAAGAAGGAGAAGCUAGUUACUUGAGGUUCACGCUAGCGUGAGAGAGGACUCGUAACCGCCAUCUCAUGUACUGCAUAGUUCCGCUCUCACUCAUAGUGAUAGCUCUUCUCGCGUAUACCUUUGUUUAGAUGGAUGAUGUUGUAGUUGCAAGUAUUCGAGACUUGCAUGUAUCGCUAUUUUCGAGAUGAUGACAAGAUACCACUUUGUGUUGGAUGAUGAUUAUGACGAGACUAUUUGUAUGUAUAUGCUAUGAUUACAUUUGUGGUCUCGCGGGCAUUUGUAUGUGUAUCAUGAUGACAUUUGUAUGUGCUAAAGAUUCUUCUAUAAAGCAUGUUCUAGCAGUAGCGAGUGGAGAAAAGUUAGCAGCAGCGCGGUUGUAGCAGUACCGCGCACAGGGGAAGCGCGCUAUAGCUAUUAGCAGCAGCGAGGUUCCUUUAAGCGCGCUGCUGCAACACUUGUGUAGAAGUAGCGCGGGUGGACCAGCGCUACUGCUAUACGUUAGCUGUAGCGCCUUAUUGGUAGCGCGGGUACCCGCGCUGCUGAUAGGCCUAAAACCCGCGCUGCUACUAGCCUUUUCCCUAGUAGUGGAUCUUUACUUUAUCACAAUGCUUAUCGCCACAACUAUCAUCUCCCUCAUCGCCAUAGAUGUCAUCCUCAUCACCAUCAAUGUCAUGAUCAUUCUCACAGCUCAUAACACUUCUAAUAUUGCUUCACACUCCCUAAGAAAUGACAAGACUAGUUAUAAGAGAUAUGAAAAACAAUGCAAUGUACUUUAAAUUUAAUUGAGGUACAAGGAACAAAUUUCCUUUUAGGGAAGCUACAGAGAACAAAUUUUAAUUGUUCUAGAACCAUCUAUGCAUGGAGAUAUAUAGCUAAUCAUGUCUUACUGUUGGAACUAGGAACUCAGUGUACGUCGACAAUUACUAGUGUUACACUAGUAAUUCUUUCCUUACCAAAGCAUACAUCUGGGCAAUAGAAAUUAAAAUAUUAACAUGAACAGUAAUAAUAAAACUAGUUCACCAUUUUGCAUCUUCUAUCCAAAAGGCUAUAGACUAGUACUUUUUGACAUCUUAAUCCAUGUAUUUUUGUGUAUUCAUGGAAGACAAAAUCUAUUUACCCAUCGUAACAUUCAGUUAUUUGUGGUACUGUUUUCUAAUUGCUGUAUACCCUUACACAACUGCCGAUUAAUGGACAAGCCAAUAGAAUGGCAGAGGACAUCAUACUAGAUUUCUCGAAGAGAACGAAUGUGGCUGCCAUGAAUUUGGAGAGGCAAGAGAGAUCUGGGGCACAAGCUACCUUCAGGUUCCAAUGAUAUCUUUUUAACAGGCAAGGAAUUCAUCAAACACUUUACAAGGACCAACACAAAACUCGAUCCUACGUACGCAUAGUAACUGCAUACAGAACAAAAAGUUAGACUGACCCAUAAAGGAUGAAGCAGAAGGCAUAUGUGCUGAUGCUCAAUUCAGACACUUCAUUUCUGUACAGCUGAAGCACAGUGUGGUAUCCUAAAUUGCAGAAGAGUAUAAUAAGUUUGUCAGCGAAGCCUUAUCUAAAUGUUUCUCAUUUUAUUGUUGUUGAAGCUGGACUUGCUGAAGCCGUCGAUAAGGGCUUUGUGCUUCACCAAUUUCACCUUGUUCCGAGCGAUCUUGGACAGCCUCAUCUGUCUUAAUGCCCCUGUUUUCGUUAGGCCUCUAUUAUCAGCAAAGAUAUUUCUGGUACCUUACCAAAAUUCAAAUAGUCCAGUGUGGCACAAAGCCACAAACCAUGGCAAUGUUUUGCAUCAUCUAAAUAUGCACGUAUUUCCUCAUCUUACUUUGUUCCUGAAUAACUAGGUGUACAAAUUAAGCGAGUAUUUCCAGCAUAGUUGUGUGAAUCGUACCAAUUUUGACAUCUUAGCUAGCAAGGAUUUUACAUCAGAAAUCAAUCAGACUAUACUAGGUGCGGAUUGCAACCUUAACUUGCGAGUAGUACAAUAUUGUAACUGGGGAACGAGAACAGAGCCGAACCAAUUAGCCCGCGCUGCCGCUCGACCAUCAGUACGCUCGCCAGUGCCUGCCACCACCGCCAGCGUAUUGUUGCUGCAAAAAGAGAAGAAAGAAGAGACAAGGUGAGAGGAUAGAGGAAAUCCCGGGAAGGAAAAGGAGGCACUGACCUAGCAUCGUAGCCCACCGGUGUUGGCCGCCGCCACCAGAACUGUCGAGAGACGAGAUUCGGGUGCACUUGCACAUUACGGGAGGGUAGAAAGAGGUGAAAGGACCAAAACUCCGCCAGCCUCCCCGGCCAUAGCUGCUGUGAAGUGGAGAGGCGAUGGGAGGAGUUGAUCUGAAGCUAGGCGGUAGGGAGGUGAGGGAUGGUCUGUGGCGGCGAGGUGAGGAUAGGCGACAACGGCUACCAGGGGGAUGUUAGAUGAAAGUGAUCGUGAGUUCGUGCCGAGUGGGCUAAUUAGAAUUUUUCGUUUUGCGCUUGCGUGGGUUGAAAUUUUCAACGCGCGUGUAAAUAUGAGUUACAUUUUUCAGCUUCUUUUAUUUAUAUUCCUCUUAUGUUAUGGCCUUCCCUCAAAAAAAUAUUGCUCUAUACAUUAGAACACUGAUCAUAAUUAUAUUUCAUCAAUUUAAAUACAAUGUAUGAUAUUGAAAUAUACUUUGCAACAUUUUAAAGUCAAAUAAAAUUAAGAACGACCUUUUUAUAACCCGACAGAUCACAAGCACAUGUCAACCGCUUUGUUCACUUGAUACAUGCCCUAGGGGGGGGGGGGGCCCACACCGCUCUCCUCCACCCUAAUAGCUUAUUCCGAAUGGAUAAAGUCGUCUUGCUCGAGAGAAAUCAAUCUCAUCUCUAACCAGUCUCAAAACGCCCUCCUCCCCCAUCCCACGAGCUCCGCCAAGCAUCUGUUACUUUGGUGCGCACCACCGCCGCCGGUAUUGGUUCCACUCCUAGACCAAUAUGCUACCAAUUGCUCCUUUCGCUAAUGCAAACCCCUAAGACCAUUGCACGUAGAUGACACGGUCGUCACUACAAUCCUCAUCUACAGUAUCCUCGUUGCUUCAAGCCAGGGAGCCACGCACCACCAGCCAUCGCCAUUGCAGAAGGAGGGUGUCGCUGCUGUAGAACGGCUAGACGGCAUCGAAGAAGUUUUGUGCUUGAUACGGGGUCGGACUGACGUGCACCAUACUGUGUGUGGUAACUCUCGGGCAGUCACUCCUCGUCGGUUUUCUACGACAAUGCAGGCUUGCCCCACCGGACCGAGAUUCCUCAGCCAGCUCUUGGUUGCACGCUAUUGUUCUUGUUGCAUGGCGCUUGAAAGCUUGCCCUCAGCGUCAAAUCCCAAGACAAGACUAGAGGAGAAGAGGGAGGUGAGUCAAGUGAGGAGAGCUGAUACAACUAGGCGGUGAGAGGAUUAGGUCAACUCCAAAGCUAUGUAUACAUCAAAACGGACACAUCAAAUGUCCAUGGACAUGUUUGGACAUGUUUGCACACAACGCUAGGGGAGCUGGUCAUCCAACCAUAAUCAUCAAAUCUAGACAACAGGAGUGGGCCAUGCGUGGGCUAGGCGGACCUAAAGGAAAAUCACAUGGGCUAUGAGGACAUAUUGUCCAAUUGACAGUGAGACAAGCGGACUGUGUGGACUCUCCCAAAGCUCCCUCAGAUGCACCACAAGCCACAAAGAAAAACCCGCGUCAGCCGGUACCAGAACCACAUGCGUUGCAUCAGAUCUGUACCCCAUGCAUGGUAGUAGUACCAGCCGCCACUACCGACCACACGGGAACAUCGUCCUGGCUUCCUGCACACAACCCCCUAGCACUACUCCCCUGCGCCUCUGUGCCUCCAAUUGGAAUCUUCUUAUAUGGAAUUAUAUGGAAUAUAACAUGCGUCAUUCUACAUUUAUCGAUAUGGUGUCCAUCAAAACAUAUCAUUGAGAGGGUAAGUUAACCGUCGGUUAUUACUAUACACUCUCGGGUAUUUUCUCAAAUAACCGAGAGGCACACAUGUACCGUCGGCCAUUUUCACUCACAGGUGAGAGUUUUCUUUUCACCUUUGGCUAUUAAAUAUCACCGUCGGGCAUUAGAUCUAAUCCCCAUGGGUGUGGCAAAAACCGUCGGGCAUUACAUGUAAUCCCCGAGGGGGCACCAAAAACCGCAGGGUAUUACAAUUAACCGUCGGGCAUUACAUGUAAUCCCCGUGGGUGUAGGAAAAACCGUCGGGCUUUACAAUGAACCGUCGGGCAUUAAGUUGGAUACUCGAGGGGUGGAUGUUCACCGUCGGGCAUUCUAGUAUACCGUCGGGUAUUAGUGGUAAUACUUGUGAGUUGAUACUAAUCGUCAGCCAUUGCAACUACCGUCGGCUAUUACUAUAAUAACUGACGGCCCAUCGGCUAUUAGGUUUCACCGUCGGAAAUAUGGGGAUUUCUAGUAGUGUCUUAGAUUUGUUUAGAUAUGUUAAGAUAGAGAAGUAUCUAGACACGUUUCAGUGUUAUAUACGUCUCUUCAUAUAUCUAGAUAAAUCUAAGACAAGCCUUUUGGGACGGAGGUAAUACGUUAAUUCGUUAUCGGUCUCAUUUUGGUUUUGGGUCCAUUGAAUUUCAUGCGAGGUGUAGACUCAGGUGGCUCCUGACUAGGGUUUCCUCAGCCUCUCGGCAGCCGCCACUAGUCCGCCUCAUCUCCUAUGGUUCUAGGACAAUGGAGAAGCAGUCGAUGCUGACCCUUGUUGGCGAGAGGGCUCACUUUUUAGGUGUUUUUUUAUACAUCUCCAACAUAUCUACUUUUCCUAACGUUUUUCCUCUUGUUUUGGACUCUAAUUUGCAUGAUUUGAAUGAAACUAACCCAGGACUGACGUUGUUUUGAGCAGAACUACUAUGGUGUUGUUUUUGUGCAGAAAUAAAAGUUCUCGAAAUGGAACAAAACUUUGCGAUGUAUUUUUAUAUAAUAAAUAAGAAUUUCCGGAGGCAAGACCUACCGAAGAGGGGCCCCUUGGUGGGCACAACCCACCAGGGCGCGCCCAGGUGGGUCGUCCCCACCUGGUGGCCCCGCAGACCCUGAAACUGAUGCUAUAAAAUCCUAUUUUUCUAGAAAAAAUAGGGAGAAAGAAUUAUCGUGAUCCACGAGAUGGAUCCUCCGUCACCUCUUGUUCUUCAUCAGGAGGCCAGAUCUGGAAUCCUUUGGGACUCCGGAGAGGGUGAUCUUCAUUCUUCGUCAUCACCAAUCCUUCUCCAUCGCCAAUUCCAUGAUGCUCCCCACCAGGAGUGAGUAAUUCCUUCCUAGGCUGGCUGGUCGAUGAGGAGUUGGAUGAGAUUCAUCAUGUAAUCGAGUUAGUUUUGUUAGGGCUUGAUCCCUAGUAUCCACUAUGUUCUAAGAUUGAUGUUCCAAUGACUUUGCUAUGCUUAAUGCUUGUCACUUUGGGCCCGGGUGCCAUGAACUCAGAUAUGAACCGUUUAUAUUAUCACAAUUAUAUCCAUGUUUUAGAUUCGAUCUUGCAAGUUAUAGUCACCUACUACGUGUUAUGAUCCGGCAACCCCGGAGUGACAAUAGUCGGGACCACUCCCGGUGAUGACCGUAGUUUGAGGAGUUCAUGUAUUCACUAUGUGUUAAUGCUUUGUUCCAGUUCUCUAUUAAAAGGAGGUCAUAAUAUCCCUUAGUUUCCAAUAUGGACCCCGCUGCCGCGGGAUGGUAGGACAGAACAAGUCAUGCAAGUUCUUUCUAUAAGCAUGUAUGACUAUUUACGGAAUACAUGCCUACAUUAUAUUGAUGAACUGGAGCUAGUGCCCUAUCGCCCUAGGUUAUAACUGUCUCAUGAUGAAUAUCAUCCAACAAGUCACCAAUCCAAUGCCUACGAAUUUAUCAUAUAUUGAUCUUGCUAAGUUACUAUUGCUAUUAUCACUUCUACACUUGCUACAAAAUUACUGCUAUCAUUGUUACUGUUACCAUUGCUGCUGUCACUACUACUCAAAACUAUCAUAUUACUUUGCCAUUGAUUGCUUGCUGCAAAUAAUUAAUCUCCACAUGUGGUUGAAUUGACAACUCAGCUGCUAAUACCUUCAAAUAUUCUUUGGCUCCCCUUGUGUCGAAUCUAUAAAUUUGGGUUGAAUACUCUACCCUCGAAAAGUGUUGCGAUCCCCUAUCCUUGUGGAUUAUCAUUUCUCAAUCGCACUAGGGUUUGUGCUACGCUCAGGAAGAUGAGACGGCGGCGACUUCCUGGAGAUGGAAUAAGAUUCUCCUCGUUUAUCCCCCAACUAGUAGAAAACAGGGCACCAGUCUCGGUUCUGCAACCGGGACUAAACAAUCGGGUCUAAAGGCCCCCACUUUUAGUCCCGGUUGGAUUACGAACCGAGACUAAAGGUGCUCCACGUGGCCAUUGUUGGACGCCCAGGUAGGAGGACCUUUAGUCUCGGUUGGUAACACCAACUGGGACUAAAAUGCAACCACACGUCAGCAGCUGCCGAGCGCUGGUUUUUUUUGAAAGGAGGGGUUUAGGGGUUUCAUAUUAUGUUUCCCCCUUUUCUUUUUGUGUUUACCAUUCAAUUAUUUUACAUUUAGGGUUUUCAUUUUUAUUUUAUAAUUUUCAUUCAACUCGACGCUAGCUACUACAUAUGGCAAUGAAAGAACCAUUAAUUAGACAAUAUUGUCAUGGACAUGUAUAGAGAGAAGUGACCUCUCUUUCUCCGUGCUUGGUCGAACAACAAGUUUUCGUAUAACAUCUCCUACAAUCCCUAACAUCAUCUACCAAAAUCGCAUUGCAACUCCCCAUGGUAUUCUCCGUCUUCAGGUAUGACAUCUCUUACAAUCCCUACCAUCAUC